rnacentral:rRNA from 1 species
UACGGGGGGGGCAAGCGUUGUUCGGAAUUACUGGGCGUAAAGGGCUCGUAGGCGGCCAACUAAGUCAGACGUGAAAUCCCUCGGCUUAACCGGGGAACUGCAUCUGAUACUGGAUGGCUUGAGUUCGGGAGAGGGAUGCGGAAUUCCAGGUGUAGCGGUGAAAUGCGUAGAUAUCUGGAGGAACACCGGUGGCGAAGGCGGCAUCCUGGACCGGCAUUGACGCUAAAGCGCGAAAGCCAGGGGAGCAAACGGG